GGACAUGUGGCCCAGUGGUAAGGCAUCUACAUCUCAAGUCACGGCUCGGGAGCUCCCAAACAACCAGUUGAUCUGAAGUUCAGGCCUGGGGUGAGCAAACAAUCCCGAGCAGGCCACGUGACGGAUUUGUAGGAGACCUGCGUUCGAUUCGCAGCAUGUUCA
rnacentral:tRNA from 1 species